rnacentral:rRNA from 1 species
GCUAACUCCGUGCCAGCAGCCGCGGUAAUACGGAGGGGGUUAGCGUUGUUCGGAAUUACUGGGCGUAAAGCGCGCGUAGGUGGUUUGAUAAGCGAGAUGUGAAAGCCCCGGGCUUAACCUGGGAACGGCAUUUCGAACUGUCAGGCUAGAGUAUGGUAGAGGGUAGUGGAAUUUCCUGUGUAGCGGUGAAAUGCGUAGAUAUAGGAAGGAACACCAGUGGCGAAGGCGGCUACCUGGACC